rnacentral:rRNA from 1 species
UACGUAGGGGGCAAGCGUUGUCCGGAAUUAUUGGGCGUAAAGAGCGUGUAGGCGGCCAGAUAAGUCCGCUGUGAAAUCUCGAGGCUCAACUUCGAGCUGUCGGUGGAAACUAUCUGGCUAGAGUCCGGAAGAGGAGAAUGGAAUUCCUGGUGUAGCGGUGAAAUGCGCAGAUAUCAGGAAGAACACCUGUGGCGAAGGCGGUUCUCUGGGACGGUACUGACGCUGAGACGCGAAAGCGUGGGGGAGCGAACAGG